GAACACUUAUGGCUUACAAGCUCUUACAACUUGGGCCUAGCAUUCGGGACUACGACUGGAUAUUUCAUCCAGGUAAUCUUUUUCUUCCAAUUUUAUUGAGAAAAGACUAUUGAAUAUUUACAAAUAUUUUAAAGAGAAGACGAAUACAUAUGACUUACAAGCUCUUACAACUUGAGCCUAAUAUUCGGGAUUACGACUGGACAUUCCAUCCAGGGUAAUCUUUUUCUUCAGAUUUACUUAAGAAAACGGUUUUAAUAUUUACAAGUGUUUUAUAAAGAAGACGAAC
rnacentral:lncRNA from 1 species